rnacentral:rRNA from 1 species
UGCAGAAUCCCGUGAAUCAUCGAGUCUUUGAACGCAAGUUGCGCCCUAGGCCGUCAGGCCGAGGGCACGCCUGCCUGGGCGUCACGCACCGAGUCGCCCCCACCCACCCCCCGGGGUAAUUAUAAGGGAGGGAGCGGAGAAUGGCCCCCCGUGCCCCCGAGCGCGGCCGGCCCAAACACAGGCCCCGGGAGGCCGGCGUCACGAUCCGUGGUGGUUGUAAAAGACACGCCCUAGUAACCGGAUCACGUGCACGCCGCGCCGCAACCCGGAGGGCCACANCGACCCCCACGAGUACCGUCCCCCGGACGGCACCCACUCUGCGACCCCAGGUCAGGCGGGGCCACCCGCUGAAUUUAAGCAUAUCAAUAAGCGGAGGAGAAGAAACUUACAAGGAUUCCCCUAGUAACGGCGAGCGAACCGGGAUCAGCCCAGCUUGAGAAUCGGAAGGCCACGCCCUCCGA